rnacentral:rRNA from 1 species
UUUGAUCCUGGCUCAGGACGAACGCUGGCGGCGUGCCUAAUACAUGCAAGUAGAACGCACAGUUUAUACCGUAGCUUGCUACACCAUAAACUGUGAGUUGCGAACGGGUGAGUAACGCGUAGGUAACCUGCCUGGUAGCGGGGGAUAACUAUUGGAAACGAUAGCUAAUACCGCAUAAUAUUGAUUAUUGCAUGAUAAUUGAUUGAAAGAUGCUAUUGCAUCACUACCAGAUGGACCUGCGUUGUAUUAGCUAGUAGGUGAGGUAACGGCUCACCUAGGCGACGAUACAUAGCCGACCUGAGAGGGUGAUCGGCCACACUGGGACUGAGACACGGCCCAGAC